AGCAGUGGGGAAUAUUGCACAAUGGGCGAAAGCCUGAUGCAGCGACGCCGCGUGAGGGAUGACGGCCUUCGGGGUUGUAAACCUCUUUCAGCAGGGAAGAAGCGAAAGUGACGGUACCUGCAGAAGAAGCGCCGGCUAACUACGUGCCAGCAGCCGCGGUAAUACGUAGGGCGCAAGCGUUGUCCGGAAUUAUUGGGCGUAAAGAGCUCGUAGGCGGCUUGUCGCGUCGGUUGUGAAAGCCCGGGGCUUAACCCCCGGGUCUGCAGUCGAUACGGGCAGGCUAGAGUUCGGUAGGGGAGAUCGGAAUUCCUGGUGUAGCGGUGAAAUGCGCAGAUAUCAGGAGGAACACCGGUGGCGAAGGCGGAUCUCUGGGCCGAUACUGACGCUGAGGAGCGAAAGCGUGGGGAGCGAACAGGAUUAGAUACCCUGGUAGUCCACGCCGUAAACGGUGGGCACUAGGUGUGGGCAACAUUCCACGUUGUCCGUGCCGCAGCUAACGCAUUAAGUGCCCCGCCUGGGGGAGUACGGCCGCAAGGCUAAAACUCAAAGGAAUUGACGGGGGCCCGCACAAGCGGCGGAGCAUGUGGCUUAAUUCGACGCAACGCGAAGAACCUUACCAAGGCUUGACAUACACCGGAAAGCAUCAAAGAUGGUGCCCCCCUUGUGGUCGGUGUACAGGUGGUGCAUGGCUGUCGUCAGCUCGUGUCGUGGAAAUGUUGGGGUUAAGUCCCCGCAACGAACCGCAACCCUUUGUCCCGGUGUUGCCAGCAGGCCCUUUGUGGUGCUUGGGGACUCACGGGAAGACCGCCGGGGUCAACUUCGGAAGGAAGGUGGGGGACGAACGUCAAGUCAUCAUGGCCCCUUAAUGUCUUGGGGCUGC
rnacentral:rRNA from 1 species